rfam:Gossypium arboreum cultivar AKA8401 contig_25704_3, whole genome shotgun sequence.
UAUUAAAAAUUACAUUCAUUUGUAUUGUUAAAAGCUGACGUGAACUUAGUGACAUAUGGCUUGUCACGUGUACCUCAUGCUAACAUAUAGGGAUCAGUUUUUUACAGCGAAAAUGGAUGAAGUUUUAAACA